rnacentral:rRNA from 1 species
CCUACGGGUGGCUGCAGUCGAGAAUCUUCGGCAAUGGGCGCAAGCCUGACCGAGCAAUGCCGCGUGCGGGAUGCAGGCCUUCGGGUUGUAAACCGCUGUCGAGGGGGAUUAAGAGCAAUUUGAAUGAUCCCUGGAGGAAGGGUCGGCUAAUCUCGUGCCAGCAGCCGCGGUAAUACGAGAGACCCGAACGUUAUUCGGAAUUACUGGGCUUACAGAGUUCGUAGGCGGCUCAGAAAGUUGGGUGUGAAAUCCCUCGGCUCAACCGAGGAAUUGCG